UGCUUUUACAAAUACUUAAUUAUCUUUUAUUUUACAGGAAACUGUAGACUCAAAAUCAACGAGCAGUUCUACUUCUAUGAUUGGGUCACCCCUAUCUCAGACAUCCACUCAAGUAAAAAGAUGUCCUGCAAAGCACACAACACCUGAAAAUGUUGUGAAGUUAUCUAUCCCAGAAUAUGUAUUGCACACUGACACCAAACUAGAGCAAUGCCGAAAACAAUAUUUUGAGUUGGCGAAGGCCGGCGAAGAGAGAAACUGCCAAAUGUCAAAGGACCUCAGAUGUCGGCUCAUCCGAAACACCAUGACCAGUAUGAUCGCAAUCCUGAGGGCAACGGGGGACAGAGACAGAUACCCGUCAAAGCCAGAAAUAACAGCUAUGGCAAAGCGAACAGUGCUGUACUACCCCAUGCUGCAGGACCGAGACCUGAGCAGCAAGUUACUGUGUACUCACAGCUAUACAAAAGAUUGAAAAAUUUGAGAUCACCCCAAAAGACCAAUCCAAAGAGGCGCCGACUCGAGGAGCCAAAGUGCCAACCUGACUGACCCAGAUGAAUUUGAUUCAAGUGACUCAACAGUCAUUCUGGAUCUCCCCUCAAAAGGGGGUAGCAUUCAAGCAUUCAAGACUUCCCUUCUGAAGGGAGUAGCACCCCAGACUCGGGCAGCAAUGCCAGAUAUGCCCGCAUCUUUGCGUAAGAAGAAAACUCCAAACCGUGAGUCCGUCU